GACGAACGCUGGCGGCGUGCUUAACACAUGCAAGUCGAACGGAAAGGCCCUGCUUUUGUGGGGUGCUCGAGUGGCGAACGGGUGAGUAACACGUGAGUAACCUGCCCUUGACUUUGGGAUAACUUCAGGAAACUGGGGCUAAUACCGGAUAGGAGCUCCUGCUGCAUGGUGGGGGUUGGAAAGUUUCGGCGGUUGGGGAUGGACUCGCGGAUUAUCAGCUUGUUGGUGGGGUAGUGGCUUACCAAGGCUUUGACGGGUAGCCUGCCUGAGAGGGUGACCGGCCACAUUGGGACUGAGAUACGGCCCAGACUCCUACGGGAGGCAGCAGUGGGGAAUAUUGCACAAUGGGCGGAAGCCUGAUGCAGCAACGCCGCGUGCGGGAUGACGGCCUUCGGGUUGUAAACCGCUUUCGCCUGUGACGAAGCGUGAGUGACGGUAAUGGGUAAAGAAGCACCGGCUAACUACGUG
rnacentral:rRNA from 1 species